rnacentral:rRNA from 1 species
GUAGUCCUAGCUGUAAACGGUGCACGUUUGGUGUGGGAGGCAACCCCUUCCGUGCCGAAGCUAACGCGAUAAACGUGCCGCCUGGGUAGUACGGUCGCAAGACUAAAACUCAAAGAAAUUGACGGGGACCCGCACAAGCGGUGGAGUAUGUGGCUUAAUUCGAUGCAACGCGAAGAACCUUACCAGGGCUUGACAUGUAUUGUAACCCCGGUGAAAGCCGGGCAGCGUAGAAAUACGCGCUUUACACAGGUGCUGCAUGGCUGUCGUCAGCUCGUGUCGUGAGAUGUUGGGUUAAGUCCCGCAACGAGCGCAACCCUUAUGAUUUGUUGCCACCGGUUCAUUCCGAGCACUCAAAUCAGACUGCCCAGAUUAACUGGGA